GACGAACGCUGGCGGCGUGCUUAACACAUGCAAGUCGAACGGAAAGGCCCUGCUUUUGUGGGGUGCUCGAGUGGCGAACGGGUGAGUAACACUUGAGUACCCUGCCCUUGACUUUGGGAUAACUUCAGGACACUGGGUCUAAUCCCGGCUAGGAGCUCCUGCUGCUUGGUGGGGGUUGGAAAGUUUCGCCGGUUGGUGAUGGACUCGCGGCGUAUCAGCUUGUUGGUGGGGUAGUGGCUUACCAAGGCUUUGACGGGUAGCCGGCCUGCGCGGGUGACCGGCCACAUUGGGACUGAGAUAAGGCACAGACUCCUACGGGAGGCAGCAGUGGGGAAGAGUGCACAAUGGGCGGAAGCAAGAUGCAGCAACGCAGCGUGCGGGAUGACGGCCUGCGGGUUGUAAACCGAUUUCGCCUGUGACGAAGCGUGAGUGACGGUAAUGGGUAAAGAAGCACCGGCUAACUACGUG
rnacentral:rRNA from 1 species